rnacentral:lncRNA from 1 species
CGUGGGGUCUUGUGCCAGUUCAAAGACAGUUCUGGUUACUGUAAUGGGUGUUGGCAGGCUUAGCGGUUCAAUAAAGUUUCAAAUAGGCACGCUUGAGAGCUAUAACGGUGGCUUGGCUUUAGCGUGGGUAGCUAUGAACUUGAGAGCAGAUUCAAAUAAAACAAAAAGGUGGGGUCCAGGUGAUUCAAAUGUGGUGGCUUUGGGCGUUCCUCAGUGGUUUAAUGUGGAAGUGGUUGUGGUUGUGAGGGACCCAUGUGAUUAAAAAAAAAAGUAAAACAAUGCAGUCACAGGUGGCUGGAGCGUGGGAGCAGAAUUCAAGUGCAGU